rnacentral:rRNA from 1 species
UACGUAGGGCGCAAGCGUUGUCCGGAAUUAUUGGGCGUAAAGAGCUCGUAUGCGGCUUGUCACGUCGGGUGUGAAAGCCCGGGGCUUAACCCCGGGUCUGCAUUCGAUACGGGCUAGCUAGAGUGUGGUAGGGGAGAUCGGAAUUCCUGGUGUAGCGGUGAAAUGCGCAGAUAUCAGGAGGAACACCGGUGGCGAAGGCGGAUCUCUGGGCCAUUACUGACGCUGAGGAGCGAAAGCGUGGGGAGCGAACAGG